rnacentral:sRNA from 1 species
UAGACAGCCGAGUCCAGCUCAGGAGCGGGGGAACCAAUCUUUGGGGUGAAUGCAGUUCUGAAUUGCAAGGGUAGAUCUCUGCCCGAACCCGUCAGCUAACCUCGUAGGCGUAUAGAGAGGAG